rnacentral:rRNA from 1 species
GAUGAACGCUGGCGGCGUGCUUAACACAUGCAAGUCGAACGGAAAGGCGCCUGCUUGCCGGGGUACUCGAGUGGCGAACGGGUGAGUAACACGUGGGUGAUCUGCCCUGCACUUCGGGAUAAGCCUUGGAAACUGGGUCUAAUACCGGAUAGGACGAUGGUUUGGAUGCCAUUGUGGAAAGUGUUUCGGUGUGGGAUGAGCUCGCGGCCUAUAAGCUUGUUGGUGGGGUAAUGGGCUACAAAGGCGUCGACGGGUAGCCGGCCUGAGAGGGUGUACGGCCACAUUGGGACUGAGAUACGGCCCAGACUCCUACGGGAGGCAGCAGUGGGGACUAUUCCACAAGGGGCGCAGGCCUGAUGCAGCGACGCCGGGUGGGGGAUGACGGCCUUCGGGUUGUAAACUCCUUUCGCUAGGGACGAAGCGGAAGUGACGGUACCGGGAGAAGAAGCACCGGCUAACUACGU